UCAAAGCAACAUUUCUUCUAAAUCUUUCUACUACAUAUUCUAUUUGCUGCGUGUCAUGGCUCUGGCCGUGUUUACUGUGCUAUGUGCUUCCGGGAAAUCUACCCUUACCUUUUAAAAUAUUUUUGUGAUGGAGUUUCAACGUAUCAAAAUUCGCUACAUUUAUGGCUUACUUAUUCAUUUGUUUAAUACGGUGUAAAUAGAAUGAUCACAAAAAUAAGCAUUUCUCUAGAUUUAAAUACAAAAUUAGAUUUUAAAUAACGAAAGAGUAACACAGCAACUCCCCUAACACACGUUCUCUUUAGUUUUGCAGUGGAGCGUAGAGGAUAGAGUUACACGUCUACAUCGGGGACUCUCAUCAUGUGUUAUUUGGAUAUCACAUUAGCAUAAGGGGAAUUCCUUUAUGUCAUAAACAAGUUUGAAAAAGAAAAUAGAACAUUAUUGAAAUCAUGAAAACAUUACAAUUAUUUUAUACAGUACUUGUUUUCAGUAUCUUAACAAGUAAAACGGCUGAUGCUGUUUUACCGGUGCUUGCCGAUCCUAGGGACAGCAAUGGAUGUAAUAUCGUUUGGAUUAGAUGUUCACUCCUUUUUUGACUCUAUCUUAGGAGAUGAUGAAACACAGAGUACCCCGGCACCUGUAGAUUAUGACAGGAUAAUUAACAGAAUUUCUGAGAGAAUAGAAAUGUCAACAGAAACCAUUGUUUUUAAAAUUGAGCUGCAGUCGUAUAUCUCGGAAUUACGUACCGUUGCUCUUACUGUCAAACAACUUCUUGCAGAGAUGGAGGACAUUAUCAAAGCUAAAAGUAAAGACACAAGAGAAGAGUUUCAGAGACGAUUUCGCGAUAAUUUUGAGAGGCAUAAAACUGAAAUGUAUAAAGUUAAAAGCCUGUUAACGUUCAGCGUCGACGUAUCGGGAAUAUCAAGUACAUUGCUGUCACUCAUUGCCAACGAAUUAAAUGCGGGAUAACUAGUCCUAGAGGAGUUUCAAAAUUACUAUAUGACACUGGUUUCGGAUGUAGUAGCAUUGGCUCUAUUAAAUGAAAGACUCUCAGAGAAAAGUCUUUAUAAUCAAACUCUUUCUUCUUGGCAAACGGCAAUAGAAUCUCUUUUUGAUGACAUGAAAGUACAGAAAAACGAAUGUAAAGGAAAAUUCUUUGAAUUAGUAACGGAAGACUUCAGUCCUGAUCAAUGACCCCUCGAAACUUUUUGAAAAUAACCAAAAUAGAUACCCGUACCGUGAAACAGACGUUCUAUAUCUCAGCGAAAGUUAUUGUGUGUGAAGUCUGAAAGGCUUAUGAUAAAAUAUUAAAGAAGGUGAAAGACAAUACUAUGACUUUUGUUUUAAUAAGUGGUGAGGAGAAUGCGCAAUCUAUAACAUCAGAGCAGUUUCAGAAAAUUGUAUCAGAGGCAAAAUUUGGGAACUGUAUUGACGAUAUCGGCAAGAUCGUAUCUUUCUUUGAUGUUCUAGGCAAAGAUCUAGUCUUUUGGCUAAUGUAUCCGCAAGAACAGGCCUGCCGGUUUCCAGAUUUUUCUCGAUCAAAAUUCAACUGCGAGUACAAUAACCACUGAAUCAGACGGCACCAAAUACACGACAAUUGUUUACCUACGUGCACAGGAACACGGUACCAAUUCAACCCUUACUGAUAGUGAUUUUGAUGUGAAAUUUUAUGAAGAGGCUGUGUCAGUUGAUGAAUCGUCUGGUCUAAAGACAUGGCAGUUGGGCGUUAUAAUCGGAGGUUCCGUUCUUGUGGUCAUAAUUUUAAUUGUAAUUCUUUGCAAAUGCUGUUGUCGUCGUCGAUAUUAACUUUAUGGCUUAAAAUUGUCAUAUUUGAGACGUUAUUAACAAUUUAUGAAAUGUUUUAUUAAACAGGUUAUGAACCCAGCUCCGAUGUUUAGCUCCUAUCGUGGCGGUGAUAGAAAAUAGCAAUGUUUUGGAUACCUGACUUUGGUGCAAAUUUGCUUGUUCAUAUCAUGCUUAAAUAACAAAAAAGUGGAAUGCGAAUAAAUAGAGACACAUUUA
rnacentral:lncRNA from 1 species